rnacentral:rRNA from 1 species
GACGAACGCUGGCGGCGUGCUUAACACAUGCAAGUCGAACGGAAAGGCCCUGCUUUUGUGGGGUGCUCGAGUGGCGAACGGGUGAGUAACACGUGAGUAACCUGCCCUUGACUUUGGGAUAACUUCAGGAAACUGGGGCUAAUACCGGAUAGGAGCUCCUGCUGCAUGGUGGGGGGUGGAAAGUUUCGGCGGUUGGGGAUGGACUCGCGGCUUAUCAGCUUGUUGGUGGGGUAGUGGCUUACCAAGGCUUUGACGGGUAGCCGGCCUGAGAGGGUGACCGGCCCCAUUGGGACUGAGAUACGGCCCAGACUCCUACGGGAGGCAGCAGUGGGGAAUAUUGCACAAUGGGCGGAAGCCUGAUGCAGCAACGCCGCGUGCGGGAUGACGGCCUUCGGGUUGUAAACCGCUUUCGCCUGUGACGAAGCGUGAGUGACGGUAAUGGGUAAAGAAGCACCGGCUAACUACGUG